rnacentral:rRNA from 1 species
CGGACGGGUGAGUAAUACGUGAGUAACCUACCUUUAACUCUGGGAUAAGCCUGGGAAACUGGGUCUAAUACCGGAUACGACCAAUCUCCGCAUGGGGUGUUGGUGGAAAGCGUUAUGUAGUGGUUAUAGAUGGGCUCACGGCCUAUCAGCUUGUUGGUGAGGUAACGGCUCACCAAGGCGACGACGGGUAGCCGGCCUGAGAGGGUGACCGGCCACACUGGGACUGAGACACGGCCCAG